rnacentral:rRNA from 1 species
CUACGGAGGAUCCAAGCGUUAUCCGGAAUCAUUGGGUUUAAAGGGUCCGUAGGUGGACAGAUAAGUCAGAGGUGAAAUCCUGCAGCUCAACUGUAGAAUUGCCUUUGAAACUGUUUGUCUUGAGUCAUUGUGAAGUGGUUAGAAUGUGUAGUGUAGCGGUGAAAUGCAUAGAUAUUACACAGAAUACCGAUUGCGAAGGCAGAUCACUAAUAAUGUACUGACGCUGAUGGACGAAAGCGUGGGUAGCGAACAGGAUUAGAAACCCCAGUAGUCC